rnacentral:rRNA from 1 species
GAUGAACGCUGGCGGCGUGCCUAACACAUGCAAGUCGAACGGAGAUUACGGACGGAAGUUUUCGGAUGGAAGCCUGUACUUCUUAGUGGCGGACGGGUGAGUAACGCGUGGGCAACCUGCCCUAUACAGGGGGAUAGCAGCUGGAAACGGCUGGUAAGACCGCAUAAGUCGGUUAAAUCGCAUGAUUUGAUCGGGAAAUGAGCAAUCAGGUAUAGGAUGGGCCCGCGUCCGAUUAGCCAGUUGGCAGGGUAAAAGCCUACCAAAGCGACGAUCGGUAGCCGGACUGAGAGGUCGGACGGCCACAUUGGGACUGAGACACGGCCCAAACUCCUACGGGAGGCAGCAGUGGGGGAUAUUGCACAAUGGAGGAAACUCUGAUGCAGCGACGCCGCGUGAGUGAAGAAGUAUUUCGGUAUGUAAAGCUCUAUCAGCAGGGAAGAUGAUGACGGUACCUGACGAAGAAGCCCCGGCUAACUACGUG